rnacentral:rRNA from 1 species
GAUGAACGCUGGCGGCGUGCCUUACACAUGCAAGUCGAACGGCAGCACGGGUGCUUGCACCUGGUGGCGAGUGGCGAACGGGUGAGUAAUAUAUCGGAACGUACCUUAUUGUGGGGGAUAACGCAGCGAAAGCUGUGCUAAUACCGCAUAAUCCCUAAGGGGGAAAGCGGGGGACCGUAAGGCCUCGCGCAAUUAGAGCGGCCGAUACCUGAUUAGCUAGUUGGUGAGGUAAAGGCUCACCAAGGCAACGAUCAGUAGCUGGUCUGAGAGGACGAUCAGCCACACUGGGACUGAGACACGGCCCAGACUCCUACGGGAGUCAGCAGUGGGGAAUUUUGGACAAUGGGGGCAACCCUGAUCCAGCAAUGCCGCGUGAGUGAAGAAGGCCUUCGGGUUGUAAAGCUCUUUCGGCCGGGAAGAAAUCGCACAGGCUAAUACUCUGUGUGGAUGACGGUACCGGCAUAAGAAGCACCGGCUAACUACGUGCCAGCCGCCGCCGUAA